rnacentral:tRNA from 1 species
GCCGGGGUUGCCUAGCCUGGUAAGGCGAUGACACAUCGUCGUAGGCUUGCUAAGCCAUUGACUCUCACGGGUCUCGUGGGUUCAAAUCCCACCCCCGGCGCCA